UCAAGCGCGAAAAGGGCGUUUGGUGGAUGCCUUGGCAGUAAGAGGCGAUGAAGGACGUGAUACUCUGCGAUAAGCCAUGGGGAGCUGAGAAUAAGCUUUGAUCCAUGGAUUUCCGAAUGGGGCAACCCACCUGAUACUUUGUUGUUAUUGCAGCUUUGGUUGCAGCUAACAGCGGGGUUAACCAGGUAUUUCUAGACUGAAUACAUAGGUUUAGAAAAGCAAACCCGGGGAACUGAAACAUCUAAGUACCCGGAGGAAAGGAAAUCAACAGAUACUCCCCUAGUAGCGGCGAGCGAACGGGGACCAGCCGAGCCAUGAGAGUGACAAGAAUAUCCUGGAAAGGAUAGCCAGAGUGGGUGACAGCCCCGUAUUGGAAGCUCAAUUGGACGUAUUAAGUAGGGCGGGACACGUGAAAUCCUGUCUGAACAUCGGAGGACCACCUUCGAAGGCUAAGUACUCCUUACUGACCGAUAGCGAACCAGUACCGUGAGGGAAAGGUGAAAAGCACCCCGACGAGGGGAGUGAAACAGUUCCUGAAACCGAACGCCUACAAGCAGUUGGAGGGUCCUUUAUUGAGGCCUGACAGCGUACCUUUUGUAUAAUGGGUCAUCGACUUGGUCUCACGAGCAAGCUUAAGCCGUUAGGUGUAGGCGCAGCGAAAGCGAGUCUUAAUAGGGCGAUUGAGUUUGUGGGAUCAGACCCGAAACCGAGUGAUCUAGGCAUGUCCAGGAUGAAGGUUAGGUAACACUAACUGGAGGUCCGAACCCACACCUGUUGAAAAAGGUCGGGAUGAGGUGUGCCUAGGGGUGAAAGGCCAAUCAAACUCGGAGAUAGCUGGUUCUCUGCGAAAUCUAUUUAGGUAGAGCGUCGUCCGAAUACCCUCGGGGGUAGAGCACUGGAUGGGUAAUGGGGCCUUACCGGCUUACUGAUCCUAACCAAACUCCGAAUACCGAGGAGUACUAGACGGCAGACACACAUCGGGUGCUAACGUCCGGUGUGAAAAGGGAAACAACCCUGACCUACGACUAAGGCCCCUAAUUCAUGGCUAAGUGGGAAAGCAGGUGGGACGACCAAAACAACCAGGAGGUUGGCUUAGAAGCAGCCAUCCUUUAAAGAUAGCGUAACAGCUCACUGGUCUAAAUAAGUUGUCCUGCGGCGAAGAUGUAACGGGGCUCAAGCCAUGAGCCGAAGUCUAGGGUGUAUAGCAAUAUACGCGGUAGCAGAGCGUAGUGUGACAUAGUUCCUUGUCUCCUUACUUGGUUCGCCAAGAUUGGAGACGUGGAGCUUUCUGUGAAGCCCCCCUGUGAGGGAUGGGGUGGAGAGAUCACUAGUGAGAAUGAUGACAUGAGUAGCGACAAAGGGAGUGAGAGACUCCCUCGCCGAAAGUCCAAGGGUUCCUGCUUAAAGCUAAUCUGAGCAGGGUAAGCCGACCCCUAAGGCGAGGCCGAAAGGCGUAGUCGAUGGGAACCAGGUUAAUAUUCCUGGGCCGUGGAGUGGUGACGGAUCUGAGACGUAGUUCAUCCUUAUCGGAUUGAAUGGGCUGCUAACAGGUUCCUGGAAAUAGCCCUCCUUUAAGAUCGUACCCUAAACCGACACAGGUGGACUGGUAGAGAAUACCAAGGCGCUUGAGAGAACCACAUUUAAGGAACUCGGCAAAAUACCUCCGUAAGUUCGCGAGAAGGAGGCCCGUUCAGAACGCAAGUUUUGGGCGGGGGCACAAACCAGGGGGUGGCGACUGUUUACUAAAAACACAGGGCUCUGCGAAGUCGUAAGACGACGUAUAGGGUCUGACGCCUGCCCGGUGCCUGAAGGUUAAAAGGAGGAGUGCAAGCUCCGAAUUGAAGCCCAGGUAAACGGCGGCCGUAACUAUAACGGUCCUAAGGUAGCGAAAUUCCUUGUCGGGUAAGUUCCGACCUGCACGAAUGGCGUAACGACUUCCCCGCUGUCUCAAAUGUGGACUCAGCGAAAUUGAAUUGCCUGUCAAGAUGCAGGCUACCCGCGGUUAGACGGAAAGACCC
rnacentral:rRNA from 1 species